ensembl:lncRNA
GUGAAUGUGUCGUUACUAAGGGCAAGGCAGAGGCUCACUGGCAGCCAGGGCAUGCUUUGAAUGUGAUGCAGGGUUAAUGACAACGGUCUGAAAAAAUCAGAAUGUACCGACUGAAAGGAUGUAGAAUUCUAACAAGGGUAGAUUUUUAAGUCACUUACUCAUUAUGGAUUCCAGUGUCAAGAGAUAGCUAGGCAGGCAAGUGAAAAAACGCAAGUAAAUUAAACCAGGAAUAGGUUUGGGUGCAUGGCAGGGUCAAAAGCUAGUUAGGUGGAAAGUGGAGUAUGGGUAAGGAAAUGAAAUAGAAAUUUUAAUUCUACUAACCAAUUUCCUGUUGAACACCAUUAUGUCCUUGGCAUUGUGUUAGAUUCAAAAUUAUAGGUCUUGAAACUUACCAUCAAUAUUUUAGUCUCGUUGGGGGCAGGAGGGCGAAGUUUGCACAAUCCAGUGCAUAACCCACUUAGAAACGGAUUGUUAACUGAGGCAGGAGCCAGAAACGAAAACAUAGGAAGCAGGUAAGAAACUUUUCAAAAACAUNNNCUAGCCUUCAUGACUCAGAAUCUCUGAGAUGGGUUGAGAUGAAAAUGGGCUUCCCUGGCGUGAAAAGCUCCCCAGGGACGUUCAGGUGUGUACCCUGGUUAUGAGCCGCAGAAUUAGACCAGCCCUUUCUAAUCAUACCUGAUCAUGAGAAUCACCUGAAUUGCUUCUUGGGUUUAGAUUCCCUGGUUCCACCCACCUCCGGAAUUGCUAAUUCAGAAGCCCUUGGCGCAGGGCACAGAAAUACGUGUUUCUAACAGCUACUCCAAGUAAUUUAUAUCAACAGAACCUGAAACACCAGUUCCUGGAGGGGGAGCAGGGAGAGGAAGAAGAUGCAAACAAAGGUCUCCAAGUUGGUGGUGAUUUGCUAUAGCAGCCAUAGAACAGGAACACAACCACCGAAUGAUGGUGCUUUCAAGAGGAGGGGGGACUGUAAAGUUCCAGACGAUGGACUGAGAGGAUUUGGGGGCUCAGGACAGAGGGCUUUGCUUCACAACCCCAAUCCCACUUCAAGAAGUCUUCAUCCACCGCUGCUCACCUGCUGCCUCUGUUGACAGUGAGACAUCUCCAGCUUGCAAGCUGGCAGGAGAGUGGAGAGCAAAACUUUUCAAAGCAAACUCCUGGAGCUGGAGACCUCAUCACAGUCCCUCAGUCACUGUGGGGAGAUCUGAGAGGUUAGGGUGAGACUUCCCUGAGCAUUUCCCACAGCCUGCAGGCUUUCACAUAAACUGCAAAGCCCAACUGUUCCAUGGGCCUUUCCUCCUGGAAUUCUUUCAGGGAGAGUGAGGACACAGUGAGCUUUCUAACUUGGUUUGCCAUUGGGAAGACACAGAUCUGACUUCUACCCGGCACUCAUAUCUCCAAACACAAAGAAUUGUAAACUAAUCUGCACUAGCCACUGCACAUUCUAAUGCUUAUAUCCAUCAACACCAGCUCAUUAUUUUAACAUUUAUUUUAACAUACAGACUGAAACUGUAUUUUUACUGUUGAUUUAUAAUAGAUGAGUCUCACUCCUACUAACCAUAGCUUCUCCAGGACAAACAUCUCCAUAUUAGCAUCUGGUAUAUAGUGGGCCUCAAAAAAAANNNNNAAAAAAAAAAAAUCCUGUUGAAUGAAUCAGUUGAUUUUGUGUUUACUGUAUGCCAGGUCCUGCCAUAUAAAGAUGAAUGAAAAAAGGGUUCAAAGCUCAAGAAACUCACAUAUAUAUAUACACAAGUAACUGUCAUUUUGUAACACUAUAUGCUAUAUCACAAAUCCAAUAUUCAGUAUUAAUCAGUCCAUCCAUCAUUUUUUACUCCUUAAAAUAUAGUUAGUGCUAUAAUAAAACCAUUUUUUUAAUCAGAAGGAACAGAAAAGAUGUCAUAUGAGUUAAUCAUUUUGCAGUUUUUGUUAUGCAGAUAAGCCCAAACUAAACUGACACCUUUUUGCCAGAUAAGCUAGCACUCCAGUAUUUAUUAACAUUUCAUUGGUAUUAUUUAUAAUCUAGGCAACCAUGUUGCCAAGGAACGGAGUGAUGGGCAUAAGUCAGUUUUAAAACUACCUACAUGUAGUAUCAUCCCCAAGGUUCUUUGAAUCUGUACUUAAUGNNNNNNNNNNNNNNNNNNNNNNNNNNNNNNNNNNNNNNNNNNNNNNNNNNNNNNNNNNNNNNNNNNNNNNNNNNNNNNNNNNNNNNNNNNNNNNNNNNNUACCUACAUGUAGUAUCAUCCCCAAGGUUCUUUGAAUCUGUACUUAAUGAUUUCCCUCUACCCUCCUCCCAUUACAUUACUGUCACUGUGAAAUAAUUAAGUCCAAGUCCUGUCAGAAACCUGCUGGGGAACUGUCUGCCCAUUUCUUACUGCUCUCUCCCUUUAAAGUUUCAAUGUAAUCUUUAGUUGCCGUAAGCUCUAAGAGGAAAAAAUAUCAACACUAUAUUAUAUUGAAAGCCACAGGGACAUUUUUCAGUUGCUUCUUUGGAGAUUGGAGCUACAGGUUGGAAAUGGACCGUGAUGCAGUUACGCACUCCAGUUUUCAGCUAGGGACUCGUAACUCACAUUAUGUUCUGUGAUGUGUGGCAGGCAAGCUUGUGCUAAAGGGAGUAUGUGAAAUACAGGACAUGAAAAUGUAGUAAUAGUGGAUACUUCCCUCUGCAAAACUAAUCAGGGAUCUUUGAAAGGUUUGCCAUCUUAACAGCAAAAACAUCCAAAACUAAGAACCAAAACCACUAAGGUAUCCAGACAUGAAAAACUUGUGUAAUCUUGUAUCUGGUAGGAGUAAAGUCUGGAGUCCAGGAUGAGCCCCACCUAACAGUCAUGGAUACCAAUUGUAAUGAAUAUCAAAUAAAAGCUUGCACUUAAAGAACUAUCUAGAAACCUAGCUAAGAUCAAUUCUCUAUCUUCUAAGAAGAAAAUGUAAGGAAAAAUCUUCAUAAUAUUGGAUUUGGCAAUGAUUUCUUAAAUAUGACACCAAGCACAGGUAAUAACAACAAAAAAUAGAUAAAUAGUAUUUCAUCAAAAUUAAAAACUGUGCCUCAAAGAACACUAUCAACAGAGUGAACAACUUGCUCAAAAGAAUGGGAAAACACAUUUACAAAUCAUAUGUCUGAUAAGGGAUUGACAUCCAGACUAUACAAAGAACUUCUACAACUUAACAGCAAAAAAACAUAUAGCUUGAUUUAAAAAUGGGCAAAGGACUUGAAUAGACAUUUCUCCAAAGAAGAUAUCCAGAUCCAACAAGCAUAUGAAAAGAUGCUCUACAUCAUUAACCCGGAGGGAAAACACAGAUCAAACCAAUCGAAGAUAGUACUUCACACCUAUUUAAAUGGCUAUGACCAAAAAACAGGAAAUGACAAUUGUUGGCAAGCAGGUGGAGAGAUUGGAACUCUGUGCCUUGCUGGUGGGGAUGUAAAAUGAUGCAGCCACUGUGGAAAACCAUACAGUAGUUUCUGAAGAA